AUGAUUCUUAUGUUAUGAUAAGAUCAAAAUCAUAUUCGUCAAGGUAUCUUUGGCAAAAUGAUUUAUUAUUUGCAUUUCAAGCAAACAUAAUUGGAAAAACAGCAAAUCUAUAUAAAUUUGUUGUGUGUGACUUCAGCAUUAAAAAGAUUGAUCCCAUCUCAAAAUAUUCUGUUAAUGUUUUUAUUAAUGAAUCUUCACCAAUAUUUAACACUCCUGGUUUAAGAUUCAUGAUCAAAUGUGAAAGUUCAAAUAAUGAAAUCACUAAAUUUAAUGUUACAGGCAAUUCAGUUCUUAUUACUUUGUCACAUAGCAACACAACUUACAAGUUUUCUGCUGGUUUUCAAAAUGAAUAUGGCAUCUAUGUGUUUGGAAAUGUUUCCUACUAUAAAACAGAUGAAGAUGGACGUAUUGAUGCUUGUAUUCAUGGAUUGGUUUUGGGAAUAUUAUGGUCGUGGAAUACUUGUGAAUGCUGAUAAAUCUUAUUUGUAUAUAUGCAUGAACUAACAUGUUGAGAGCAUCAAACCAGCAUGUUAUUAUUCAAAUAUCACUGGUGACUUUAUAAUUGAUCUGGAUGUUUCUGUAGGAUGCGUGUUAGGACAUCAUUUGAUAACUAAAGAACUUUAUGCAAUUCAUCGUAAUCAGAAAUUGUAUCUUUAUUUUAAUACAGUUUACAAUAAGUGGCUUGGGCUGACCAAUGAGCAAUUUGAUAAAAUCUCCCUAAAUCUUGAUAAUCAAAUGAUGAAAAAUUUUGAUAUGGAUGAAGAUCAAUAUUACAUUCUGGGUGUAAAUCAGUGGAAGGGCAACGCAGCGGGAUUGUUUUAUCGCAACGAUUCGUCAAGUUUAUGGACGCAAAGAGUCAAGUGGAAUCAUAACAUUUUUUAACUUUUACUAUAGUUUUAUAUUUUUUCGUAUUUUGCAUUUUAUCGAGAAAGAAAGAAUCAUAUAGAGUUUAUUUUGUUAAAAACUUACUGUAGAGAUAAAGUGAAGUAAAAUCUCUUGAGCUUUAUAAACUGUAUAAAUAUAGCAAAAUAAAGUAGGGGCAUAACCGCCCCCGUAACGUUUGAAUUAAUGUUAUAUGAAAAUAAAAACGAA
rnacentral:misc_RNA from 1 species